rnacentral:rRNA from 1 species
UACGUAGGGUGCGAGCGUUGUCCGGAAUUACUGGGCGUAAAGCGCUCGUAGGCGGUCUGUCGCGUCGGCUGUGAAAACUCGGGGCUCAACUCCGAGCUUGCAGUCGAUACGGGCAGGCUAGAGUUCGGCAGGGGAGACUGGAAUUCCUGGUGUAGCGGUGAAAUGCGCAGAUAUCAGGAGGAACACCGGUGGCGAAGGCGGGUCUCUGGGCCGAUACUGACGCUGAGGAGCGAAAGCGUGGGGAGCGAACAGG